AUAUACACAUAAGUACAUACACAUACACCGUGUUUCUGUAAAUGUGUUUAUAGCUUUACACGUGCCUCUUACCCCAUCCCCUCUUCUCACUUUAUUUUAUUUUAUUUUUUUUUUUUUUUAUUUUAUUUUAUUUUAUUUUUUUUUUUUCAUACUUAAUACGAAGUUGCAUGAAUGUAAAAAAAAAAAAAAAAAAAAAAAAAAGUUAAUAAAAAAAAAGAAAAAAAAAAAAUGUCAUAUUCUAGAUCAGAUGCUGAUCCUAUUAAUAUUUCAUGUCCUAGGUUGAUUCCCAAAAGUGACGACUGUAGUCUUAAACCCAUAAGUAACAUAAAUUAUACAAAAAAUGAUACAGGUAAUAUAGAUAUGAUACAUUCGUUGAGUAAUCAUGAGCUGAAUGAUUAUGUUAGUAAAAUAAAUGCAAAAGAAAUAAAACAUACAUAUAAACCUAAUGAACAGGACAGUAGUAAUAAUAGUAAUGGUAAUAAUGUUAUUGUUAAAAAUAAAAAUAAAAAUAUGUUUCAAACGGUACUACUACAACAUGGUCAACCUGAAAUAAAUAAAAAUGUAAAUAAUGAUACAGAUAUUAAAAAAGAAUUUUCACAAAUAAAUAAAGACGGUGUUAAGAAUUCAAUUAACAAUGACCAAUAUGUUAAUAACUAUGCAUAUGGAAAUAAUAAAAAUAUAGACAGUAUGCACGCGGACAUUUAUAAUAAUAAUUUUUAUAACAGUUAUAAUAUUGUAAAAAAGGAAGUAAGCAUGCGUGAUAAUUAUGGAUCUAACUACAAACAGAAAGACACUGAAACGCUAGAUAUGUUGUUCAACUCAAAUAGGUUCAAAAUAAAAAAGGUAAAUGCUGUUAGUACUACAAAGAAUGACACUACUGGUGCAAGCAAUGAUAAUAUAAACAACAUGAACAGUAGUAAUAGUAGAAAAAAAAACUUAACCACUUUUAUUCCUUUAGAUAAAAUAAUUGAAAGGCGUGACAUGAACAAUUUAUUGUCAGAAGAGCAAAUUAAUAAUUUAUAUAAUCAUCAAAAUAUAUAUGAUAUGAGACAAAACAGAAAUGAGCAAGAUAACAUAACAACCUUACAUGGUCAGGAUAAAAAUACAAAACCUGUUACAAAUUUCAAUGCCCAUUCUAAUUAUAUAGAUAAAGUACCUUACAUAUCUAAUGAUAGUAUAUACAUAAAUAAAAAAAAUAAUAUGUAUUGUAUGGAUAUGGGUAUGGAUCAUUUAAACAAAGGUACGAAUGUGGACAAAAAAAAUAUGUACGAAGGAAAAAAUAUGUACGAAGGAAAAAAUAUGUACGAAGGAAAAAAUAUGUACGAAGGAAAAAAUAUGUACGAAGGAAAUAAUAUGUACGAAGAAAAUAAUAUGUACGAAGAAAAAAAUACGACUAGCCAUAUUAACCCACGUGACAAAGAACAAACAGAUGUAUUAUAUAGUAACAAUAAUAUAUACAAUUAUGAACAGGACAUACAAAAAGAUAACAAAAAUAUGUAUCUUAAUAAUAAAAAUAUGUAUAAAGAUAUACAAAUGAAUAGAGAAAAUGACAGAAUAUACAACGAACAUAACGAGUUAAACAAACAGAUGAACCAUUAUAGACAUGGUCCACCUUACAUGUACAAACGUAGCAACGACAAGAGUGACAUACAUAUAAAAGAUGUACUCAAAAAUGAUAAUAACCAAUUCAAUCAUAACUACAUCCGUGAUAAUGAUUCAUACACUCAUGGUAACAAAUAUAACCGUAAUAAUAACUAUAACAGUAGUGAAAAUCUAUUCGAGAUGUAUGAUUCUAAAAAUAACAAAAAAAUUAUUUAUUGUUCUGUCAAAAACCAUUAUAAUCCUACUAAAGAAAAUGAAACUGAUAAUAAAAAAAAAAAAGAUUUUCAAAACAUAGUUUAUGAAAAUGACAUAUAUGAUUAUUUAUUAUACCAAUAUGAAAAUAAUUAUAAAAAUUUUGUUAAUUUGAAAUCACCUGAACAAAGUAUUAUAAACCAACAAAGCCAGUCCAUAUUUCCAAAAAUAAACGCACCACUUAGUAAUGCUGUUGCUUUAAAAGUGGAUAAUGAAAAAAAAGAAAAAGAAAAAGAACAAGAAACAGAACAAGAAAAAGAAAAAGAAAAAGAAAAAUAUUAUAAAACAGUAGAAUCGACCGGACUUACAAAUAGUAACAACGUUAAUAUGUAUUUUAAAAAAAUAUUGAAAAUUUUAGAUUAUAAUAACAUUGUUAAAAAGCAAAAUACGGAUGUAUCCAAGUGUAAUGAUGCUGUACAGGUUGACAAUGUACAUAAAACAGAUCCCACACAAAGUGAUGCUGUUGAUAUAGGUCAAAAUCCCAGUGGUAGAAGUCUUAGUGAUAUACGCCCCACCGAUUCUUACAUAAAAACAAAAUCAGAAGCAACAGAGGUCCAAGUCGAAACAAUAAAAAAACAAGACGUAUUCCACCGUAGUGCUAAAAAACUAAUUUUAAAAGAUAAUGAUGUUACAGAUUUAUACAAAUGUAUUAAUGAAGUAUAUACGGAAGAACCCAAGUUGUUUCUAUAUUACGAUAAACAAGAUGCUGUUAAUGUUAAAAAAGAAAGAUCGAAUAAAAAAAAAACUAACAAAUGUAAUUUAAUGCAAAUAAACAAAAGUUUUAAACAUAUAUUUAAAAAAAUGAUUUAUGAAAAUACAGUAGUUAUUAGUAAUAUAGGUGAAAAAACCGAUACUGUGACAUUUUCAUAUGAUAUAAUUAAUAUGAAGAACCAAAAUAAUCCUUUUUGUUUUGAUUAUAAUAACAAACAGACUGAUGGUAUUUAUUCUUAUAUUGCAGCUAGUCAUAACAAAAUUAACUACAUUUAUUUGAAUUACGAGUUGUCCGUUUUGGAGGGUAACAGCGGCAUGAUUAGUGGUGCUGUGGUUGGUGGUGCUGUGGUUGGUGGUGCUGUUUCUAGUGGUAAUGCGUCUAGUGGUAAUGCGUCUAGUGGUAAUGAGUCUAGUGGUAAUGCCUUUAGUUAUGAUACGGCUAGUGGUGACGCAUUUAGUAGUAGUACAACAAUGAACAAUAACACAACACAAAGCAAUAUAAUUAACAACCACAUGACAAAUCAAACAGGCAAAACUGGUCAAAUAAUAAAAAGUAACAAACAUAUCGAAACAAAUAAAUUUUUAACAUUUUCUUUUUAUUUUUCAAACAUCAUUAUGAUUCACAUAAACAGCAAAAAUUAUGAAUCUACACUUUCAUUAAUAGCUAGCUAUUAUGACAUCAUUCAGAACAUUAAAAAAAAUAUAAAAAAUAGGAAAAUAAAACAACAAAAAAGGAAACAUACGGAAGUGUAUACAGGGCAAUCGCCAUUAUCAUUACCUACGGAUAAUAAUAAUAUAACAUUUAUUGAUAAAGGAACACACAAAAAAAAAAACAAAAAAGAACGAACAAAUAAACAAACACAUGAAAAAACGAUAGCGCACAGAAAAAAACGUACAACCAUUUCUUUGGCCUCACAAAAAACAUCCAACUUAGAUAGCGAUAGAUUAUACAAAAAAAAUAAUCCCAACGAAGAAAACAUACAAAUUCCAUAUUUUCUAUUCGUUCUAACACAUGUGGAUGUAGAAAAUAUACUACUAAUGAAAAAAGAAACAAAAAAGACGCAAACUAAUAAUGUGAUUAAAAACGUAAAUAAUAAUAUUAACAACAAAGGAACAAAUUGUGAACAAUCGGUCAUAAUGAAAGGUAUGAAUGUAUAUAAAGGUGAAGGUAAAACAAGUGGACAGUUAACAGGUGAACAUAAAGAAAAGGGACAAAAAAAGAUAAAAAGAAAUAAAAAUAGGAAAGCUUAUAAAAACAAGGACGUACAAAAAUAUUUGUAUUUUUUAAUAAACAAAAUGGAUAAUGUCGUGAUAAAAAAUAAAAUACACUUAUUUUUGAAAUCUUUGAAAAAAAAAAGUUUAUUUUGUUUUUUGUCCGAAGAUAAGCAAAAGGAAAUAGUUACUCGGGAUUUUUUCUCUACUCCUACUUCCGCUCCUACUACUACUCCCGCUCCUACCACUACUCCCGCUCCUACCACUACUUCCGCUUCUGCCCCUACAAGUACAUGGCUAGAAUUACAAAAAAUAAAAAAAAAGUUGUAUACACUAGGAACCAACAUAGAUUAUAUACAUAAACAUAAUGGGGUUUACAUGUAUAAAUAUUUAAAUACGCUUAUAUACAUAAUUAACAAUAAUAUAUAUUAUAGUCCUAACUAUUUAAAAACAAAAAUAGAACACGUUUCUUGUCAGAUGUUACAUACUGCACUUACAAAUAAUUUUAUAUUGCAUUUACAAAACAAAAUUGAAAAAAAAUUACCAAUGAAACCUAAUUUGUUUUUAAAUAUUGUAAACAAUUUAAAAAUCGAAUUUAUUUUAUCAUAUGAAAGACAUGCUAUGGGGGAUUUCGAAAUAAAAAAAAAAUACAAAACACAGUUAUGUAAUAAUAUUGAUACGAUUAUAUUAAAGGCUUAUAAAGAAAAUAUAGCAUAUAGUUGUUUUACUUAUUUUAAUAUUAUAGAUAAAAAAAUAAAAAAAUUAAAUAUAUAUAAAAAAAUUAAUAGUCAUAAAUAUGAUCAUUUUGAACAACUGUUUAAUGACAUGGAAAAAAUUAGUGAUAAACCGAUUGAUAACUUAAUAUACAAUGAAAUAUUGAGUAUCAAAAAAGAAGAAAUCAUGACUUAUUUUAUUAAGAUAAAUUACAGUUAUGGAACUGACAAUACCAAUGCCAAUCCUAGCAUACUUACCACCUCCACAAAAAAAAGUAAAUCACAACUCAGUGACUCAAAAACUACUGGUGCAAAAACCGUUGACUCAAAAACUAUUGGUGCAAAAACCGUUGAUUCAAAAACCGUUGAGCCAAAAACAAAUAAGUCAAAAAAAGACCAAUCCAAAUUGGGUAAGGGAAAAGGAAAAAUGGGUAAAACGAAUACGCCCGAUCGAAUUAAAAACAAUGUCAAUAACCACUUUUUAAACAAUACAAAUUUAUACACUGACUCGAAACAAAAACAUCAGGAAAAAGAAAAAAAUAACCACAUGAUAAAACAACAACAACAACAACAACAACAAGAUGCAGCACUGUUGAAUUAUAAAAAAUAUGACAUAACAUAUGAAGAAGAGUUUGAAAAAUUUUUAAGUAGAGCAUAUUCAGAUGUAGGUAACACGGAAAGUAAACAAGAUACACAAGAAACGGAAUCAAAAAAAGAAAGCAAUUAUCAUGAACAAGUUAAUAAUUUUAUGUGUACAUUUAAAAACUACAAUCAGAACGAUAAAAUAUUUUUUAAUACUUUAGAUAAUGGCAACGGAAGUAGUAAAAAAGGCAGUAGUAACAGUAACAGUAACAGUGGUAGUAGUAACAAAAAUAACAACAACAGUAAUAACAACAGAUGUAGCAACAUUAUCAACGAUUUUAAUAACCUAACACAGGGACUUACACUAUCGCACAAACCAACAACACAUUCACACGUAACGGACGAACAAAACCAAAAAAAUGAAGAAAAAAAUGAAGAAAAAAAUGAAGAAAAAAAUGAAGAAAAAAAUGAAGAAAGAAAUGAAAAAAACAAUGAAGAAAAAAAUGAAGCAUAUAAACAAAUAUAUAACGAUAUAAUUAAUAACUACAUGAUAGAUCAAAACAAAUGUAGUCUAGAGACAACAUUGCUCAAUUUUAACGACACCAAUACGUUUACAAAUGAUUUUUCAAAAUUUUCACUGGUGUUUAAUAAUAAUAAAAAUAGUAAUGGCAAUGGUAAUAGUAAAGAUAAUGUCGAUGGUAAUGUCGAUGAUUUAUGACAAACUAAAAAAAUAGACUUGACUAACAAUACUGAAGAUGUAGUACAAGUCAAGUGCUUAAUAAAUAUUAAUACUUCUUAUAUACA
ensembl:lncRNA